GAGUGCAUCAGUAAUAGAACCUUGAUGAACAAUGAGGAAUGACAACCUAAGCAUUAAAAAUGGAUCAUUCUCAUGACAUUCUACAAAUAUAAUACAUACACAUCUAGUUAGGAGCAUUUGAUUCAUUCUGAUCAUGUCAUCCUAAACACUAGGCGUAAAUAGGUCCUAUCUUCCUAUAUUGGUAGGAAGUGGAUCGAAGAUGCAGAUCUUGUCUUCCCAUAUUGGUGGCGAAGUAGAUCGCAGAAAGCAGAUCUUGUCUUCAUGUAUUGGCGUGAAGUAGAUCGAAGGUAGCAGAUCCUAUCUUCCUAUAUUGGUAGGAAGUGGAUCGAAGAUGCAGAUCUUGUCUUCCCAUAUUGGUGGCGAAGUAGAUCGCAAAAAGCAGAUCUUGUCUUCAUGUAUUGGCGUGAAGUAGAUCGAAAAUAGGUCCUAUCUUCCUAUAUUGGUAGGAAGUGGAUCGAAGAUGCAGAUCUUGUCUUCCCAUAUUGGUGGCGAAGUAGAUCGCAG
rnacentral:lncRNA from 1 species